UACGUAGGAAGCGAGCGUUGUCCGGAAUCACUGGGCGUAAAGCGCGUGUAGGCGGUACGGCAAGUCUGCUGUGAAAGCGCCCGGCUUAACCGGGCGAGGUCGGCGGAAACUGCUGAACUGGAGGACGGUAGAGGGGGGUGGAAUUCCCGGUGUAGUGGUGAAAUGCGUAGAUAUCGGGAGGAACACCUGUGGCGAAAGCGGCUCACUGGACCACAACUGACGCUGAGGCGCGAAAGCUAGGGGGAGCAAACA
rnacentral:rRNA from 1 species